GGCUCAGUGGUCUAGUGGUAUGAUUCCUGCUUCGGGCUUUUUUCACCCUUAGCACACACAAACCCUUCCAUCAUACGUGGGAAUGCAGGAGGCCCCGGGUUCGAAUCCCGGCUGAGCCC